ACCGCUCCAAAGAUUUUUUUUUUUUUUUUUUUUUUUAAAGUCAUGUUCACUGGUAAAAGCAGAGAAAUGUUCUUUCCACAAAUGGUACUGCCCACAGAAGGGGUGUGCCUUUUGUUUUACCUUUUGGGAAUAACCCAACUCUUGCCAAGGAGUUCUCUUUUCAAUGCUAGGAAGACCACAGGGGAUCCACCACCUCAUUUCCAAGGCCAGGACAGCUAAAAGCAUUGCAUCUCUGUCUUAAAAACCUAUCAGUCUUUAGUUUGAAAGCCCAGCCGGUGCUCUAAUGAGGGUAGAGACCGGGAUUUUUGUUCAGAGUCUGCAGUGCCUGGGACUUAGUAGGCUCUUGGUUAUUAUUUUGAAGGAUGGGUGAAUGGAUUUUUUUCCCCCAGUGAGCAAUCUCUGUUAUUUUUCUACCUUACAAGACUUGCUGCUGCUGGAGUUAAAACCAUAACUGAAAACAAUCACAGUCUUCUGUAUUGAUCACAUACUUUAGAAGUUGUAACUACGUCUUUUAUUCAAGCUGUAGCUGGCUUAAAAUUGGUGUUAAUGACUUAAGUUGACUCAGGAACUGUCAUAUAAACAAUAUUUAAAGUUCCUGACCGUUGUUAGAAAUAGAGCUUUAAAAAAAUCAUUGCUUUUGAGGUGAGUGCUGCAUUGGGGUUGAGAUAGGUCAUUAAAAUAGUUUUUCUUUUCAGUGAAUAUUAAUUAUUUAUAACUCAUUCUCUCUCUUUCUCUCACCGAUAUUUAUGUGUCCCUAAGAGCACAGUGGCAAGCUUUCCUUCAGAAGCUGCUGAGGACAACAGGAACUCUCUUUCAAAAGGUGCUCUAAUUGGGAGCAUCAGAUGCUUUUAAGCUCAUCUUCAGUUGCUGCUGUUGUUACUUUAAACUGUGACUUCUUAUUGAGCUUGAUGGUAAGCUGUUAGGGAGCCUAUUACUUUCACAGAUAAAAGGUUAGUUGGAAAAGUCAGAGGAAUGACCUUCAUUAUAUUAAAGGGUGAAAUUUUGAAAUAUGUGCAUAAGGGUUUAUAAACUCAGUGCUUUCCGCGUUCUGGACAGAAGAAACAAUUAGUACAAGGGCCCUAUGAUUGGCUGUGUAUGGUGCAUUGAAGGAAGAGUGAGGUGGGAGAAAUGGGAGUGGAUUAGCAAAGAUUAAGUAACAGGAUAUAAGAUCAGACAGGAAGUGAGAGUCAAGUCAUACAAGGCCUAUCAGGAUUUUGCCUUUAUUCCAAGAGAGUUGAAAGCCUUUUGUGUGUUUUCAUUUUUGUUUUUAUUGAAGUCCAGUUGACCUACCAUAUCAGAUUAGUUUCAAGUGUUCAACAGAAUUAUUUGACAUUUAAUGCAUUAUAAAAAGCUCACCACAGGAAGUGUAGUCGCCAUCUGCCACCAUACAAAGUUAUUAAAAUAUUACUAUAUUCCCUAUGGUGUACUUUAUAUUCCCAUGACUUAAGCCAUUGGUAUGCUUUGAGCUGAGGAGUUCAAUGUGGUAACCCUGUCAUUGAAGCGGCUAGAUGGGGAAAAGACUGACAAGGUCAAAGGUGGAAGUGGGGAGGUCAGUUAGGAGAUAAUUGCAAGAAUUCAUGAGAGAUGAUGAUGCUUGGCCUAGGGCAGUGCAUGUAUGUGUACUUACUCCUAGCCCCUUGUCUUAGCACACAAACUGCAUGACUGUGUGCAUACUUUACAGCUCUAUUGGAAAGUUUCUCUCUUUGCUGUCUUCCAAGGUCACCCUUAAAUAUGGCUGUAAUGUAGCUGUCAUCCAUUCUUAACUUUCUCCCACAAACUGAGCCAGCCCAUAUGUAACACCAAGCUCUGACCUUUUCCUCUUUUUUCAGCCAGUCAUACAGAACCCACCCUCCCCACAUAUGACCAUAUACGCAAGCACGGGAAAGGAGUGCUGGUGAUAUUCUGUUGGGUAACAUUGGGCUUCUGGGCUUCUGGGCUCCUGGCUCAUGCAGCUUACUCAUGCCCUCUAGUUCUGCUCUCUGUACAUCCUAGAUGCACAAUUUCCAUCUUAAGGAAGAGGUUUCUUCUGGAUCUUUCCAACUUUAUAAUUGGUGAGCUGACAGGACUAGACUUACAACGGGCUAUUUGGAUGUCUGGUAUCUUUCUAUCUUCAUGGUGAAGAGCUCUACUUCUUCUACGACCCAGUCACAUGCCAGGCAAGUCCAAACUAUUUAGAAUAUGGUGGAGGAUAAGCUAACAGCCCUGAGACAGAAGUGUAAAUGAAUAUGUUCUCUUUCCCAGGUAAGUACAAACGGUUUCUAAUCUUAUUACAUAGUUGGAAUAGAAAAUAAUGCAUUCGUCGAUCAGCCACAUACCAUGUACCAGAGGCCUUAUUAAUCUGUUCCAAGGAAGAUGUGAUAUAUGACACAGCAGCUAUGAUAAGAGCUCCUGCGGGUUGAGCUUGCACGACUCUGCAGUCAUUCUUCAAGAUCCGUCUAACUUAUGAAGCAGCCAGAUGGUGUCCUAAAUGGACAAAUUCUAGGGACUACCAUUCUGCAUCUUCUAGAACUCUGAGAAUGUCACUAAUGCCUGCCAUUCUCCCAGCCCUACCCUAGGAUGUAAUUCUGCUUUUUAUUUACCAUCUUGGUAGGAGGUGGUAAGGGGUAUGGCAGUUUCAGAGAUCUCCACUUGGCCUUCCCUUCGGUAUAGCUCUUACCCUAGAAACCAAUGCCAAGUAUGUUAGUUCUAAUUGAACACUCAGAAUUGGGGAAAUGGUCACUGUGUGGGUCCAUAGACCCACUGAGCCCCUUGUGACCUAGGGUUUAGUAAGGGCUUUAUUAUCUUACCUAGUCACUGUAAGUUACCAUUCUAACUGGGGACUAUGAUACAACUUUGGGUUUCAUUGUGAACCUAGACCCUGUAUCCACUAGUUCUCCAAGUAUCUGGUUUUUCUUUCUGUGUUAUACAUUGACCUGAAUGAAUGGCCAUAGAUCCCUUUGGGGAAGGACUGAGGAAAUCAUCCCAACAUAUUUGCCUGGGCGUCCUUCCUGCUAGGUGAGAUACCUCUUCAGUCAAUGGGUUCUAGAUCAGAAAAUUGGCCCAGGUCUGGGUGAUGAGCAGAGGAUUAUGAUGUUCUAUUGAGGUAACUGCCUUGAGCCACUUGCUCCCAUUUUUUUUUUUCCUAAUUUUUGCUCCUCCAUUCUUGCUUUUUUAGGUUUUCAGUUACAGAUGUUAAGCACCAUUUGAGUUGUCUUGUCUGUUUUGCCCUGACAAUGCCACAUUCUGUGAAUGUGUAAAGCCUCCUUUGCUGCUGCUCUGCUGUAGCUGGCUAUCGCAGCAUUGUGGCUUCCUGGUUUCUGGGGUUCCUUGCCACACCUGGCCACUGUUACUCCAGGGUGUCAUCAUCCCCAUAGAUACUGACAAGCCCUGCUCUGUGACUGUGUCUCCUAGAGUCAGCCCUGGCCUGUGAAGGCCACAACUAAAAUCCCUAGAGGUGCUAGUGUUUUUCUCACUAGCUCCCUGCCGAUAGUGUUGGUGAAGGGUGUGUGCUCUGGGCCUACGAUGUAACAUAACUCUGGGGAGUGUCUUCCAGCUUUACCUAAUAUUUCUGGUCUAACAUAACCUACUUUCGACCUCUUUAUUCCUAUCUGUACUACCAGUCAGAGGAACUCACACCUUUUUCACUUCAGUAAGUGUAGUUUACAGCUUUUCCAGACUUCUGAGACCACUGGAUCAACCGCCCUAUCCCUUGGAGUCCUUGCCAGGGUAUAAAAUCGCGUAUCUCAAACAAAUGGCCCAGGUGAAUUCUUGCUUAUCCAAUCUUAAAUUCUGGCUCCCUUAAACCUUUCCAAAUCCAGUCUCAGUGCUGCUUCCCUGGCCCCUAAUGGCACUUGUUCUUUUUUUUUUUCUUUUUUGUUUAUCCAUCAGAAAGCACAAGGAGAGGGAGAA